GAUGAACGCUGGCGGUAUGCUUAACACAUGACAGUCAAACGGAGUAGUAAUACUUAUUGGCGGACGGGUGAGUAACGCGUAAGGAUCUGCCUACUUGACGGGGACAACGAAGGGAAACUUCUGCUAGUACCCCAUGUGCCCGAAGGUGAAAUAUUUAUAGCCUGUAAAUGAUCUUGCGUCUGAUUACCUAAUUGGAAUGGUAACCGCCCGCCUCCGCGACGAUCAGUAACUGGUCUGAAAGGAUGACCUAUCUCACUGGGACUGAAACCCUGCCCACACUCCUACCGGAAGCACCGUUGGGGAAUUUUCCUCAGUGGGCGAAAGCCUGACGGAUCAAUACCGCGUGAGGGACGAAGGUCUGUGGAUUGUAAACCUCUUUUGAUAGGGACGAUAAUGACGGUACCUAUCGAAUCAGCAUCGGCUAACUCCGUGCCGAGUCUAUCCGCGGUAGAGACUGAUGAUGCAAGCGUUAUCCGGAAUUAUAUGCGCGUAAAGCGUACCCAUGUGGCUAAAUAAGUCUUUUGUCUGAGACUGGGGCUCAACCCUGGGGAGGCAGAGGAAACUAUUAACCUAGAGGAUGGUAGGGGCAGGAGGAAUUCCCGGUGUAGCGGUGAAAUGCGUACAUAUCGUGAAGAACACCACUGGCGAAAGCGUCCUGCUAAACCAUAACUGACACUCAUGUACAAAAGCUAGGGGAGCGAAUGGGAUUAGAUACCCCACUACUCCUAGCCUUAAACGAUGGAUACUAGUGUUG
rnacentral:rRNA from 1 species